GUCCUCUUGAUAAUAUUUUGAGGUCUGGCCUGCUCACUGACAAGGUUUUGAAGAGCCGCGGUAUUUUGACCGUGCAAAGGUAGCAUAAUCAUUAGUCUCUUAAUUAGGGGCUGGAAUGAAUGGCUUGACGAGAAAUCAACUGUCUCUUAAUAAUUUUUAAAAUUUAACUUUUGAGUUAAAAGGCUUAAAUUUUUCUUUAGGACGAGAAGACCCUAUAGAGCUUAACAUUUUAUUUUUAUAUAGUUUUUAGUUAAUCUUUCUAUAUUUAAUGAUAAUGUUUUGUUGGGGUGACAUGAAGAAUAAUUAAACUCUUCAUUAUAGAAUCAUUGAUUUAUGUUUAUCAUGAUCCAUAAUUUAUGAUCAUAAGAUUAAGUUACCUUAGGGAUAACAGCGUAAUUGUUUUUGAGAGCUCAUAUCGACAAAGUAGAUUGCGACCUCGAUGUUGGAUUAAGAAAAAUUUUGGGUGCAGGAGCCCAAUAAUUAGGUCUGUUCGACCUUUAAAUUCUUACA
rnacentral:rRNA from 1 species